AGAGUUUGAUCCUGGCUCAGAUUGAACGCUGGCGGCAUGCCUUACACAUGCAAGUCGAACGGCAGCACGGGGGCAACCCUGGUGGCGAGUGGCGAACGGGUGAGUAAUGCAUCGGAACGUGCCCAGUAGUGGGGGAUAGCCCGGCGAAAGCCGGAUUAAUACCGCAUACGUACUGAGGUAGAAAGCGGGGGACCGAAAGGCCUCGCGCUAUUGGAGCGGCCGAUGUCGGAUUAGCUUGUUGGUGGGGUAACGGCCUACCAAGGCGACGAUCCGUAACUGGUCUGAGAGGACGACCAGUCACACUGGGACUGAGACACGGCCCAGACUCCUACGGGAGGCAGCAGUGGGGAAUUUUGGACAAUGGGCGAAAGCCUGAUCCAGCAAUGCCGCGUGUGUGAAGAAGGCCUUCGGGUUGUAAAGCACUUUUGUCCGGAAAGAAAUCCGCCUGGCUAAUACCCGGGCGGGAUGACGGUACCGGAAGAAUAAGCACCGGCUAACUACGUGCCAGCAGCCGCGGUAAUACGUAGGGUGCGAGCGUUAAUCGGAAUUACUGGGCGUAAAGCGUGCGCAGGCGGCUUUGUAAGACAGAUGUGAAAUCCCCGGGCUCAACCUGGGAACUGCAUUUGUGACUGCAAGGCUAGAGUGCGUCAGAGGGAGGUGGAAUUCCGCGUGUAGCAGUGAAAUGCGUAGAUAUCGAGAGGAACACCUGCGGCGAAGGCGGGUUGCUGGGCUGACACUGACGCUGAUGCGCGAAAGCUAGGGGAGCGAACGGGAUUAGAUACCCCGGUAGUCCUAGCCUUAAACGAUGAAUGCUUGGUGUCUGGGGUUUUAUAGUCCCCGGGUGCCGUCGCUAACGCUUUAAGCAUUCCGCCUGGGGAGUACGGUCGCAAGACUGAAACUCAAAGGAAUUGACGGGGACCCGCACAAGCGGUGGAGCAUGUGGUUUAAUUCGACGCAACGCGAAGAACCUUACCUGGGCUAGAAUGCCCGUGACCGCCCCAGAGAUGGGGUUUCUUGGGUAAAACCAAACACGGUGCAAGGUGCUGCAUGGCUGUCGUCAGCUCGUGUCGUGAGAUGUUGGGUUAAGUCCCGCAACGAGCGCAACCCUUAUCAAUAGUUGCCAGCGGUUCGGCCGGGCACUCUAUUGAGACUGCCGUUGACAAAACGGAGGAAGGUGGGGAUGACGUCAAGUCCUCAUGGCCCUUAUGGGUAGGGCUUCACACGUCAUACAAUGGUCGGUACAGAGGGUUGCCAAGCCGCGAGGUGGAGCCAAUCCCACAAAGCCGAUCGUAGUCCGGAUUGUUCUCUGCAACUCGAGAGCAUGAAGUCGGAAUCGCUAGUAAUCGCAGGUCAGCAUACUGCGGUGAAUACGUUCCCGGGUCUUGUACACACCGCCCGUCACACUAUGGGAGUGGGUUGCUCCAGAAGUAGGUAGCCUAACCGCAAGGAGGGCGCUUACCACGGAGUGAUUCAUGACUGGGGUGAAGUCGUAACAAGGUAUCC
rnacentral:rRNA from 1 species